rnacentral:rRNA from 1 species
UACGAAGGGGGCUAGCGUUGCUCGGAAUUACUGGGCGUAAAGCGCACGUAGGCGGUUUCUUAAGUCGGGGGUGAAAUCCUGGAGCUCAACUCCAGAACUGCCUUCGAUACUGAGAGACUUGAGUCCGGGAGAGGUGAGUGGAACUGCGAGUGUAGAGGUGAAAUUCGUAGAUAUUCGCAAGAACACCAGUGGCGAAGGCGGCUCACUGGCCCGGUACUGACGCUGAGGUGCGAAAGCGUGGGGAGCGAUCCGG